AUUGAACGCUGGCGGAAUGCUUUACACAUGCAAGUCGAACGGCAGCACGGGGGCAACCCUGGUGGCGAGUGGCGAACGGGUGAGUAAUACAUCGGAACGUGCCCGGUCGUGGGGGAUAACGUAGCGAAAGCUACGCUAAUACCGCAUACGAUCUGAGGAUGAAAGCGGGGGACCUUCGGGCCUCGCGCGAUCGGAGCGGCCGAUGUCAGAUUAGGUAGUUGGUGGGGUAAAGGCCUACCAAGCCGACGAUCUGUAGCUGGUCUGAGAGGACGACCAGCCACACUGGGACUGAGACACGGCCCAGACUCCUACGGGAGGCAGCAGUGGGGAAUUUUGGACAAUGGGCGCAAGCCUGAUCCAGCCAUUCCGCGUGCAGGACGAAGGCCUUCGGGUUGUAAACUGCUUUUGUAUGGAACGAAAAGGCUCUGGCUAAUACCUGGGGCUCAUGACGGUACCGUAAGAAUAAGCACCGGCUAACUACGUG
rnacentral:rRNA from 1 species